GACGAACGCUGGCGGCGUGCUUAACACGUGCAAGUCGAGCGGAAAGGCCACCUCGGUGGUACUCGAGCGGCGAACGGGUGAGUAACACGUGAGUAAUCUGCCCCUGGCUUUGGGAUAGCCACCGGAAACGGUGAUUAAUACCGGAUACGACCACUUCUCGCAUGGGAUGGUGGUGGAAAGUUUUUCGGCCAGGGAUGUGCUCGCGGCCUCUCAGCUUGAUGGUGAGGUAAUGGCUCACCAUGGCUUCGACGGGUAGCCGGCCUGAGAGGGUGGCGGGGCACACUGGGACUGAGACCCGGCCCAGACUCGAACGUGGGGCAGCAGUGGGGAAUAUUGGACAAUGGGGGGAGGCCUGAUCCAGCAGCGCCGCGAGAGGGAUGACGGCCUUCGGGUUGUAAACCUCUUUCAGCAGGGACGAAGCGCAAGUGACGGUACCUGCAGAAGAAGCACCGGCCAACUACGUGCCAGCAGCCGCAGUAACAC
rnacentral:rRNA from 1 species